rnacentral:lncRNA from 1 species
CCUAUUGUCGGUCGGUUCUAGACCUCCAAAGAUUAGUUCUGGGAUCUUCACCAUGUGGAAUUUACCCCAAUGCCCUCACAUUUUCAUGAUUUUGCAAAAUAACUCAUGAAUUUUGGAAAUUUACAAUUUAGUCACUAAUUAGGCCCUUAGCGCAAUUCUCGUUUUAAAUUCAAAUUUUGGAAAAUCGGACCCAUCCAAUCGAUCAUACGAUGCAUCCUAAGGGUGUCUAGCUAAAAUUUUAAUUUUCCCCUUAGAUCAAUUUUUUGACCAUCGAAUUGAACCAACGGUUAAGAUCGAUCAAUUUGGGACUAGUAUAAAAGGAUUUUCCAUCGAUUUUUUGAAGGGGGCUCAUUUUGCAGAUAUUUUCUCUCACUAAACAUAGAUUUCUCUCCUCUCUCUCUCUCUCUCUUUCUCUCUC